rnacentral:rRNA from 1 species
GACGAACGCUGGCGGCGUGCUUAACACAUGCAAGUCGAACGGAAAGGCCCUGCUUUUGUGGGGUGCUUGAGUGGCGAACGGGUGAGUAACACGUGAGUAACCUGCCCUUGACUUUGGGAUAACUUCAGGAAACUGGGGCUAAUACCGGAUAGGAGCUCCUGCUGCAUGGUGGGGGUUGGAAAGUUUCGGCGGUUGGGGAUGGACUCGCGGCUUAUCAGCUUGUUGGUGGGGUAGUGGCUUACCAAGGCUUUGACGGGUAGCCGGCCUGAGAGGGUGACCGGCCACAUUGGGACUGAGAUACGGCCCAGACUCCUACGGGAGGCAGCAGUGGGGAAUAUUGCACAAUGGGCGGAAGCCUGAUGCAGCAACGCCGCGUGCGGGAUGACGGCCUUCGGGUUGUAAACCGCUUCCGCCUGUGACGAAGCGUGAGUGACGGUAAUGGGUAAAGAAGCACCGGCUAACUACGUG